rnacentral:lncRNA from 1 species
GGAGGGGGAGGAGGAGGAGGAAGAUGACUGGAGGUUAGGGUUAGGUAGGUACCUUGUAGCAGGUAGAGGAGGAGGAGGAGGAAGAUGACUGGAGGUUAGGGUUAGGUAGGUACCUUGUAGCAGGUAGAGGAGGAGGAGGAGGAGGAAGAUGACUGGAGGUUAGGGUUAGGUAGGUACCUUGUAACAGGUAGAGGAGGAGGAGGAGGAGGAAGAUGACUGGAGGUUAGGGUUAGGUAGGUACCUUGUAGCAGGUAGAGGAGGAGGAGGAGGAGGAAGAUGACUGGAGGUUAGGGUUAAGGUACCUUGUAGCAGGUAGAGGAGGAGGAGGAGGAGGAAGAUGACUGGAGGUUAGGGUUAAGGUACCUUGUAGCAGGUAGAGGAGGAGGAGGAGGAGGAAGAUGGCUCUGGAGGUUAGGGUUAAGGUACCUUGUAGCAGGUAGAGGAGGAGGAGGAGGAGGAAGAUGGCUCUGGAGGUGACCUGGAUCCACCAUCUGAAGAAGAAGGGGAACAACACCACCCUGACGAGACCCUUCCUGGUCAGAGACGUCCAGGG